GGUGUGUGUAUAUGCCUGCAAAGCCCUGGUCAUCAUUCACAUCAGCCUCUGUGUUUGAAGGGGCUUCACUGGACUGAUUUCUGUCUGCACUCACAUCAGUGGAGAAAUAAUCCCUGAUUCAUUCACAGAAUUAAGCUCUAGUGACUCUCGGGACCGAGUCACAUACAGAUGUGGCCAUUGAGAAUGUGCGU